GUACAGCGAGAUGCAAGCCGGUAACGGUGAGCUAAUCUCUUAAAACCGUGCCAAGUUCAGAUCGAGGGCUGAAACUCGCCCUCGUGAAGCUGGAAUCGCUAGUAAACGUGGAUCAGCAUGCCACGUUGAAUACGUUCUCGGGCCUUGUACACACCGCCCGUCACACCAUGGGAGCCAGUAACACCCGAAGCCGGUGAGCUAACUGCAAAGAGGCAGCUGUCGAAGGUGGGACUGGUGACUGGGGUGAAGUCGUAACAAGGUAGCCGUAGGAGAACCUGCGGCUGGAUCACCUCCUUU
rnacentral:rRNA from 1 species